UUGAUUUUUCAAAUAUAUUACAAUGAUAAAGUGACCAGUUAAUGUAUAAGCUCUUUGUGAAAGGUGGUGCCUACAGAUGGUCGACUGAUAGGAAACAGUAAAUGUGCAAACUGCUCAUUUCCCUUGAGAUUGGAGUCAUAAAGUGAUCUCAGUAAGAUAUGAGAAGAAAAUAUCCAUUUAACCCCUUUCUCUGCAGUAACCCAAACAUGGUACUGCACUGAAUUGUUUUGUAUGUGUCUGUUUCUCCUCUCCUCUCUGGCUUCACAUCUUCACUUUGGAAAAGUGAAAGCAGAAUACCUGGUUAUCCUGAGGUCACUGUCUCCACACAUAGUGGUGUCCUUGAUGUUAGCUUGGGGCAAAAAGCCAGGCAAGCUUGUGGUUGCAAUAGGAAUAGAAGGGACUUCCUUACUCCCAUCCUACCCUACCCCCUCAUCCUGCCUCAACCAGUCAUGCAGAGAGAUGCUGAAUGGCUGCCUGCUCUCAGGGGAAUGAUUUGUGGAGGUUUAAUUAAAAUAAUUUAAUCAAUC
rnacentral:antisense_RNA from 1 species